rnacentral:rRNA from 1 species
GACGAACGCUGGCGGCGCGCUUAACACAUGCAAGUCGAGCGAGAACCAGUCCUUCGGGACUGGGGACAGCGGCGAACGGGUGAGUAACACGUGGGUAAUCUGCCCUCGGUUCUGGGAUAGCCCGGGGAAACCCGGAUUAAUACCGGAUGGCCUCUCGAGCUUUCGGGCUCCUGAGAAAAGGUAGCUUCGGCCUCCGACCGAGGAUGAGCCCGCGGCGGAUUAGCUUGUUGGUGGGGUAACGGCUCACCAAGGCGACGAUGCGUAGCCGACCUGAGAGGGUGAUCGGCCACACUGGGACUGAGACACGGCCCAGACUCCUACGGGAGGCAGCAGUAGGGAAUCUUCCGCAAUGGACGAAAGUCUGACGGAGCAACGCCGCGUGAGUGAUGAAGGUUUUCGGAUCGUAAAGCUCUGUUGCCAGGGAAGAACGAGUGGGAGAGUAACUGCUCCUGCUAUGACGGUACCUGAGAAGAAAGCCCCGGCUAACUACGUGCCAGCCGCCGCAGUAACAC